GGGGUCUCGCUGUGUUGCCCAGGCUGGUCUGGAACUCCUGGGCCCAAGCGAUCCUCCCGCCUGGGUCUCCCCAAGGUACUGGAAUUACAGGCGUCAGCCACUGCACCCAGCCCAAGGUGCAGGGAAUUUAAGUAACUUGCAUAGAUGACACAGCUCUGGAAGGAGGUUUCAAACCCAAGAAAAGAAACUUUCAGAGGCUUGGAAGCCCAGCCCUGCCCAGCCUCCUUGUGUCCUGAUGGCUGGAAGACCAGCCCAGCCCUCAAGAGGCUACCUGGCUGUGAUUAGUGGGAGUCAUGAGGAUGUCCAAGGACCCACUACACCCCAAGCAUGUGAGCUGUGGAGGAUCCCUCCAUUCGUUGCUCCAGGAGGAGUGGCCAGACGCUAAGGACUGGAGCUUGCAGGACACGGACGCCUUCGUGCUGGUCUACGACAUCUGCAGCCCGGACAGUUUCGACUACGUGAAGGCCCUGCGGCAGCGCAUCGCGGAGACCAGGCCGGCGGGCGCGCCCGAAGCGCCCAUCCUCGUGGUAGGCAACAAGCGGGACAGGCAGCGGCUGCG
rnacentral:sRNA from 1 species